rnacentral:rRNA from 1 species
ACGAAGGGGUCUCUCUUCCCCCGGCCUCCCUGGGCGUAAAGGGCGCGUAGGCGGCCGAUUAAGUCGCGACUGAAAGCCUGUGGCUCAACCACAGAAUUGCCUUCGAUACUGGUUGGCUUGAGACCGGAAGAGGACAGCGGAACUGCGAGUGUAGAGGUGAAAUUCGUAGAUAUUCGCAAGAACACCAGUGGCGAAGGCGGCUGUCUGGUCCGGUUCUGACGCUGAGGCGCGAAAGCGUGGGGAGCAAACAG